GCCCUCGUAGCUCAGCGGCAGAGCACCAGUUUUGUAAACUGGGGGUCGUGGGUUCAAUCCCCACCGAGGGCU
rnacentral:tRNA from 1 species